rnacentral:lncRNA from 1 species
GGGUCAUAAAAACUUUAAAUGUCUUCAGUCACAUUUGAGCUCAGAUAUUUCACCACAGCUUUAUCUAUCAUGCCAUCAUCCCGUCGCUUAGCAACAAGCAUCAUUAAAAACAGUAUCAGGAAGAAUGCCUGGAUUGGAAAGACUUGUCAUCUCCAGAUUUCUUUUUUCCAGAUAUGCGAGGGAAGGCAAACUAGGAGAUGACAAGACCAAAGGAAACAGGGCUAAAUGACUUGACCAGGAUAACACAGCUAUGAACCUUUCAUGACUUCAUGGAAUAGAGUUCCUCUUCCCAGGUGUUUGUGACAUACUAUUCCUGCUGAGUACGGCAAAACAGAGAAAUCUCAGUUCAAGGCUGCAUAAAUAGUUCCAAGAAAUCCAACAGGUUAACUCCCCUGUUCACAUUCUGGGGAGGAUAGAUUGUGUCUCUCGAGAAGAGCUUGAAAUCUGAUGUGCUGCUUUCAAUAAAUGUUCAUUUUUCCUCUUUGAUAAUGUUCCC